rnacentral:rRNA from 1 species
GAUGAACGCUGGCGGCGCGCCUAACACAUGCAAGUCGAACGGCACCCCUCUCCGGAGGGAAGCGAGUGGCGAACGGCUGAGUAACACGUGGAGAACCUGCCCCCUCCCCCGGGAUAGCCGCCCGAAAGGACGGGUAAUACCGGAUACCCCGGGGUGCCGCAUGGCACCCCGGCUAAAGCCCCGACGGGAGGGGAUGGCUCCGCGGCCCAUCAGGUAGACGGCGGGGUUACGGCCCACCGUGCCGACAACGGGUAGCCGGGUUGAGAGACCGACCGGCCAGAUUGGGACUGGAACACGGCCCAGACUCCUACGGGAGGCAGCAGUGGGGAAUCUUGCGCAAUGGGGGGAACCCUGACGCAGCGACGCCGCGUGCGGGACGGAGGCCUUCGGGUCGUAAACCGCUUUCAGCAGGGAAGAGUCAAGACUGUACCUGCAGAAGAAGCCCCGGCUAACUACGUGCCAGCCGCCGCAGUAA